rnacentral:rRNA from 1 species
AUUGAACGCUGGCGGCAGGCCUAACACAUGCAAGUCGCGCGAGCGGCGGACGGGUGAGUCAUGUCUGGGAAACUGCAGGAUGGAGGGGGAUAACUACUGGAAACGGUAGCUAAUACCGCAUACCAUAAGAUGUGCCCAGAUGGGAUUAGCUAGUAGGUGGGGUAACGGCUCACCUAGGCGACGAUCCCUAGCUGGUCUGAGAGGAUGACCAGCCACACGGGAACUGAGACACGGUCCAGACUCCUACGGGAGGCAGCAGUGGGGAAUAUUGCACAAUGGGCGCAAGCUGGAUGCAGCCAUGCCGCGUGUGUGAAGAAGGCCUUCGGGUUGUAAAGCACUUUCAGCGGGGAGGCGUUACCCGCAGAAGAAGCACCGGCUAACUCCGUGCCAGCAGCCGCGGUAAUUC